rnacentral:lncRNA from 1 species
GCAGAGGAAACCCCCAAACCCCAGCGGCGGCCAUGUCUCCCCUCCUCCUCCUGCUCGUGGCCGUGGCCGCCGCGCCGACGCUCGCCUCCGCGGCGUCGCCUCUGCACGGCGUGGCGAACGACGUGCUGUCGGAGUACGGCCUCCCCAAGGGCCUGAUCCCGGACUCCGUCACCUCCUACACCUUCGACAACGCCACGGGCGACUUCCAGAUCCAGCUCGCGGGCACCUGCUACGUCUGGUUCGGCGACCACUACGUCUACUACGAGCAGACC